rnacentral:lncRNA from 1 species
GUUUUGUUGGACUUCUAAUGAAGAAUGUCAGCUUUUGUAAUUCAUCAACAUGCCACAGAGAAUCAAAUGGCUUUAAGAUAAAAUGCUUGAAAUGAGUAUCUGAAAUCAUGAGAAAAAUACGUGAGCUGGGACAUGACAACUUGAGGAGCACAGUUAAAGAAACAUACCAGCUUCAACAGGUACUUCACAAAAGAGGCAUGGCUUCAGAUGAUUCCCUACUUAGAGUGUGGACAGAAAGCCAGAUGUAGUCAUGAAAGGAAAAUGGAGAUAAACCUGUCUUUUGAGAAAAGCAGAAUUUGUAUGCACAUUUGAUUUUAAAAGUUACCAUUUAACUAUCAGAAUAUUUUCUUAAAUGGUGAGUUUUCACAAAGGAAAUCAAUGCACAAAUAUAACAAUGCAUAUUUAUGACACAUAAGAAAGAGAUAUCCACAUAAUAUUUUAAGUAAAAAAAGAGAAAUAGAAUAUAGGGUACAUUAAGUCUGUAUAAAAUAUCGAUCUAUUUAGAAAUAGUGAAAUUCAAUAAAAUUAG